rnacentral:rRNA from 1 species
GACGAACGCUGGCGGCGCGCUUAACACAUGCAAGUCGAGCGAUGAAAUUUCGACAGAUCCCUUCGGGGUGUAGAUGAAAUGGAUUAGCGGCGGACGGGUGAGUAACACGUGAGUAACCUGCUUUUGACAUUGGGAUAGCCUCGGGAAACUGUGAUUAAUACCAAAUGAUACUAACUGAUUACAUGAUCAAUUAGUAAAAGAAAUUCGGUCAAAGAUGGACUCCUGGCUGAUUAGCUAGUUGGGGAGGUAACGGCCCACCAGAGCGACGGUCAGUAGCCGGCCUGUGAGAGUGAGCGGCCACAUUGGAACUGAGACACGGUCCAAACUCCUACGCGAGGGAGCAGUGGGGAAUAUUGCACAAUGGGGGAAACCAUGAUGGUGCGCCGACGGGUAAGCGAAGAAGGCCUUCGGGUCGUAAAGCUCUUUUAUGAGGGAAGAUAAUGACGGUACCUAAAGAGAAAGCCCCGGCUAACUACGUG